rnacentral:lncRNA from 13 species
AUGAGCAACGCCACAUUUCACCCUGGGAUGGCAUCAGAUUCUCUUCCAGCAGAAGGACCAGGAGGUUGUGGAAAAUUAAAUGACUCAAAGUGCUCUUGGCAAAGAGAUGGCCAAGGAGAAGUGGUGAAACAGAGAACAAAGGAAAUAAAACUUCACAGAGCCAUGACUAUCGGAUGUUAUACAAAGUGGGGGUGCACAUUAAGGGGCACAUGCAGCAGGCGGAUCGGGAAGUCUGUACCUUCCAAGGACCUCAGCCACUGCGGAAAGGGACACGGAGAUGCGGCCGGGCAAAUCGGCAUAAAAAGGAGGCUGCGUCCUCCAACACUUGGACAGACCCCACGGGAAAUGCCCCGUGGCCUCUCCCUUUGUCCACGAAUAAAGUUACUUUUACACGACUCCUCCGGCUCCUCUGGGGACACAAACCUCUGGCCACGGGAACUUUCCCGCACACUGCCGGCCACGGGGCAGCCACCUCUGUCCUACCCACAGCAGCCGGGACGAGCCAGCGCUGCUCCGGCACCGGCUCCUGCCGAGGCAGCAGCGGGAAGGAGACCGCGGGCAGCCGCUCCCGCAGCGCCCUCACGCCAGGGCGAACACGGCGCCCACACGGCACAACGAACCCGCCACAGCCCCCUGCCGCCCCCUCCGCCCGCAGCCAGCCCCGAGCCCCGCCAGAACCGAGCGCGGCUCCCACCUGCGCUGGGGCCGCCUCCGAGCUCCGCCGCCGCCUCACCGGGCUCCGGCCGCCGCCGCCGCCGCUCCCGGGCCCGCACAGACGCUCCGCCAAUGGCGCCUCUGCUGCGCCACGGCCGCCCUGCCGGCGGCUCCGGGCCCGGGCUGCUCCCCGCUCCGACCAAUCAGCGCGCCAGAACCACGACUGACGGCAGCACCGCCCAAUCGGAGCGAGGGGCGGGCUCUGCACGCGGCACGGAACCCCCUCCCUUUCCCCGCACUCCGCCAUUCCUCGGAAACCUUGGCUCAGGGCGCGUUCUUGGCGCUGGGCCCGGCCAAGCCCGGAUGCUGCCCUGA